AUGUUGCUCUGCAGCCUGCUGAAGGUGGUCACAGCUUCAAUGUGGCUAGGAUCUGGUAUUGCCCAGAAGGUAACUCAAAUCCAAUCAACAAUCUCAGUGCAGGAGAAGGAGGCUGUGACUCUGGGAUGCACGUAUGACACUGGUGAUACUAAUUACAAUCUAUUCUGGUACAAACAACCCAGUAGUGGGGAGAUGAUUCUCAUUAUUCGCCAGGGCUCCUAUAGCCAGAAAAAUGAAACAGAAGGUCGCUACUCACUGAAUUUCCAGAAGGCCAGCAAAUCCAUCACCCUUGCCAUCUCAGCUUCACAACUGGGGGAUUCAGCAAUGUAUUUCUGUGCACUGAGUGGCCCACAGUGGGAGGAUUGUUGGAGGCAGCUGUACAAAAACUCCAGGUGUCUGCCUGUGACAUCCACCUGCUGUCAGGACUGCAGCAGGGAAUUAUCAUCACAGACAGGAAGUGACUAG